UAAUAAUAAUAAUAAUAAUAAUAAUAAUAAUAAUAAUAAUAUUGAAAAAUCCAAUUAAUAAGAAAUAGUAAUAAUAGUAUUAGCAGUAGUAGUGAUGAUAAAUAUAUUUACAAAUAUACUCAUUUCAUCCUGAAUGAAGGGGAGGUUAAAGGAUCAGAAAGAGGACCAAUAGAACUAGUAGUAGUAAUAGCAAUAAUAAUAGUAGUAGUUAUAAUAGCAAUAAUAAUAAUAAUAAUAAUAAUAACGGUAAUAUUGAUACAACUAUUAAUGAUAAGGUAUUAUAAAGCUGCCGCUGAUAACCCUCAUGGCCAUGGCAUAGCAUAGACCAACGCCGGCGUCAUAUUACAACGGGCUAUCAAGGUGAAGUGCUGUGGGAUCCAUGGUCCCAAAAUCCAUACCCAUCCCCAGCUGUCCCGCACAUGCCACGCUUAACCUGUUUGUGUGUGUAUACGUUUUGUUUUUGUUUUUUGUGGAAUAAAUAUGGCUGCUUUCAUUGUUGUACUCAUGAUAUGUUUGUCAACUAGUGUAUAAUGCAUUAAAAUAGCAUGGCGUGUAGCAUGGAACCAGCCCAGUGCAAAGCCCAGGCCACCACGCCCACGCCCACGCCACACUUACCCUAUCGGGACAAGUGCUGGGCCAGCCGGAGACAAGAAAUAUCAGACAGAAGUACAAGCUGGAGGGUGAAAGUCCAAUGCCCCCGGCCCCACAUCACAACCACCCACGACUAAUCAAAACUGCACAUGGCAGGGACUAGUAUGCCACAGUCAACCAGGGACCAGAAGCAGCGAAAAAGGGAAAGAGAGAAAGAGAGAGAGAGAGAGAGAGAGAGAGUUUUAAAUAUAAUAAUUAUUUAAUUUAUAUUUAUUAGUCUGUGUUGCUGCCUCUUCCUGACCCUCCCUCCUCCCAAUCAUGUGUGAUUAUUGAUGUGAUUAUUGAUGGUGUAUCAUUGAGGAUGGCUUCAGACAAAGAAG